CAAUGACCAUCUCUUGCUUCUUCCAAGCUUGCAAUGACCUUCUAUUGCUCCUUCCAAGGUUGUAACGACCUUCUAUUGCUCCCUCCAAGGUUGCAAUGGCCUUCUGUUGCUCCUUACAAGCUUGCAAUGACUGUCUAUUGCUCCUCCAGGCUUGCAAUGAGCAUCUCUUGCUUCUUCCAAGCUUGCAACGACCUUCUAUUGCUCCUUCCAAGCUUGCACUGACCAUCUAUUGGAACUUCCAAGCUUGUAAUGACCUUCUAUUGCUCAUUCCAAGGUUGCCAUGACCUUCUAUUGCUCCUUUCAAGCUUGAAAACGACCUUCUAUUUUACCUUCCAAGCUUGCAACAACCUUCUAUUUCUUUUACCAAGGUUGCAAGGAUCUUCUAUUUCUCCUUCCAAGGCUGCAAUGAAUUGUUCCUUCCAAGGUUGCAGUGGUCUUCUAUUGCUCCUUCCAAGGUUGCAACGACCUUCUAUUGCUCUCUCCAAGGUUGCAGUGGCCUGAUGUUGCUCCUCCCAAGCUUCAAUGACUGUCUAUUGCUCCUUUCAGGCUUGCAAUGACCAUCUCUUGCUUCAUCCAA